GGCUGUCUCCACCCGAGACUCAGUGAAAUUGAACUCGCUGUGAAGAUGCAGUGUACCCGCGGCAAGACGGAAAGACCCCGUGAACCUUUACUAUAGCUUGACACUGAACAUUGAGCCUUGAUGUGUAGGAUAGGUGGGAGGCUUUGAAGCGUGGACGCCAGUCUGCGUGGAGCCGACCUUGAAAUACCACCCUUUAAUGUUUGAUGUUCUAACGUGGACCCGUAAUCCGGGUUGCGGACAGUGUCUGGUGGGUAGUUUGACUGGGGCGGUCUCCUCCUAAAGAGUAACGGAGGAGCACGAAGGUUGGCUAAUCCUGGUCGGACAUCAGGAGGUUAGUGCAAUGGCAUAAGCCAGCUUGACUGCGAGCGUGACGGCGCGAGCAGGUGCGAAAGCAGGUCAUAGUGAUCCGGUGGUUCUGAAUGGAAGGGCCAUCGCUCAACGGAUAAAAGGUACUCCGGGGAUAACAGGCUGAUACCGCCCAAGAGUUCAUAUCGACGGCGGUGUUUGGCACCUCGAUGUCGGCUCAUCACAUCCUGGGGCUGAAGUAGGUCCCAAGGGUAUGGCUGUUCGCCAUUUAAAGUGGUACGCGAGCUGGGUUUAGAACGUCGUGAGACAGUUCGGUCCCUAUCUGCCGUGGGCGCUGGAGAACUGAGGGGGGCUGCUCCUAGUACGAGAGGACCGGAGUGGACGCAUCACUGGUGUUCGGGUUGUCAUGCCAAUGGCACUGCCCGGUAGCUAAAUGCGGAAGAGAUAAGUGCUGAAAGCAUCUAAGCACGAAACUUGCCCCGAGAUGAGUUCUCCCUGAGACUUUAGGUCUCCUGAAG
rnacentral:rRNA from 1 species